ACUGCUAUCGGGGUGGACUAGACAUGCUAGUCGAACGUCUCAAGCUAUGGUGGAGACGUGCGAACGCUCAGUACACGUGGCUAACCUACCCUUAGGACGGAGACAACCCCGGGAAACUGGGGCUAAUACCCGAUAGGUGAGGCGCCUGGAAUGACCCCUCGCCCAAAGGAUGUUGAGAGCAUGCUUUUCAGCAUUGCCUAAGGAUGGGGCCGCGGCCGAUCAGGCUGUUGGCGAGGUAAAGGCUCACCAAACCUAUAACCGGUACGGGCCAUGAAAGUGGUAGCCCGGAGAUGGGCACUGAGAUAAGGGCCCAGGCCCUACGGGGCGCAGCAGUUGCGAAACCUCCACAAUGCACGAAAGUGUGAUGGGGCUAACCCGAGUGCCGUCCGCUGAGGAUGGCUUUUCUCCGCUGUAAGGAGGCGGAGGAAGAAGGAGAGGGCAAGACUGGUGUCAGCCGCCGCGGUAAUACCAGCUCUCCGAGUGGUAGGGACGAUUAUUUGGCCUAAAGCGUUCGUAGCCGGCCUGGCAAGUCUCUCGUUAAAUCCAGUGACCCAAUCGCUGGGCUGCGGGGGAUACUGUCGGGCUUGGGAGCGGGAGAGGCCGACGGUAUUCUCGGGGUAGGGGUGAAAUCCUAUAAUCCCGGGAAGACCACCAGUGGCGAAGGCUGUCGGCUAGAGCGCGUCCGACGGUGAGGGACGAAAGCUGGGGGAGCGAACCGGAUUAGAUACCCGGGUAGUCCCAGCUGUAAACUAUGCGGGCUAGGUGUCGGUGUGGCUACGAGCCACUCCGGUGCCGCAGGGAAGCUCAUAAGCCCGCCGCCUGGGAAGUACGGUCGCAAGGCUGAAACUUAAAGGAAUUGGCGGGGGAGCACCACCAGGGGUGAAGCUUGCGGUUCAAUUGGAGUCAACGCCGGGA
rnacentral:rRNA from 1 species